CGGAUUUGGCGGCAAGAUAGCUUUUUAGAGGAACCUGCCCUGUGAACGAUGAUCCACGAGAGCCUUACUUUAUUUUGAAACCAGUUUGUAUACCGCUGUUGUCAGUUAGAUUUUUGAGAAUAUUUUCUUUUUGGCAAAGCCAGUGACUUCAAGUAAAGGUGCAGCUAAUGAUAAAGAUAGAGGUGGGUUACAAUUAUAGGAAUAAAACGGAUUAAGUAAUUAAUUAGCUUAUGAAGGUGGAUUUAACUGUAAA
rnacentral:rRNA from 1 species